UACGAGGCAGCAAGCGUUGUUCGGAGUUACUGGGCGUAAAGGGGUGUGUAGGCGGUUCCUUAAGUUUGCUGUGAAAUCUCCCGGCUUAACCGGGAGGGUGCGGUGAAUACUGAGGGACUAGAGUACGGGGAGAGGAAAGUGGAAUUCCUGGUGUAGCGGUGAAAUGAUGUAGAUAUCAGGAGGAACACCGGUGGUGUAGACGGCUUUCUGGACCGUAACUGACGCUGAGACACGGAAAGCGUGGGUAGCAAACAGG
rnacentral:rRNA from 1 species